AUCCACUUGAAGAGUCCCAAAUAGGACGAAACACGCCUCAUGAAU
rnacentral:hammerhead_ribozyme from 1 species